CGACGGGUGAGUAAUACAUCGGAACGUGUCUUCUAGUGGGGGAUAACUGCCCGAAAGGGCAGCUAAUACCGCAUGAGACCUGAGGGUGAAAGCGGGGGAUCGCAAGACCUCGCGCUGGAAGAGCGGCCGAUGUCCGAUUAGCUAGUUGGUGAGGUAAAGGCUCACCAAGGCGACGAUCGGUAGCUGGUCUGGGAGGACGACCAGCCACACUGGAACUGAGACACGGUCCAA
rnacentral:rRNA from 1 species